AUUGGACGCUGGCGGCAUGCCUUACACAUGCAAGUCGAACGGUAACAGGUCUUCGGAUGCUGACGAGUGGCGUACGGGUGAGUAAUACAUCGGAACGUGCCCGAUCGUGGGGGAUAACGAGGCGAAAGCUUUGCUAAUACCGCAUACGAUCUACGGAUGAAAGCGGGGGAUCUUCGGACCUCGCGCGGACGGAGCGGCCGAUGGCAGAUUAGGUAGUUGGUGGGAUAAAAGCUUACCAAGCCGACGAUCUGUAGCUGGUCUGAGAGGAUGAUCAGCCACACUGGGACUGAGACACGGCCCAGACUCCUACGGGAGGCAGCAGUGGGGAAUUUUGGACAAUGGGCGAAAGCCUGAUCCAGCCAUGCCGCGUGCAGGAUGAAGGCCUUCGGGUUGUAAACUGCUUUUGUACGGAACGAAAAGCCUCUUUCUAAUAAAGAGGGGUCAUGACGGUACCGUAAGAAUAAGCACCGGCUAACUACGUG
rnacentral:rRNA from 1 species